GCGCUCAUGGUUUAAUGGUAGAAUGUCUCGUUGCCAACGAGGCGACCCGAGUUCGAUUCUCGGUGGGCGCA
rnacentral:tRNA from 1 species